CCCUGCACCUCUUGCCUUGUUUUCCCACUGAAGCUAAGCAGGGUUAAGCCUGGCCAUUACCUGGAUGGGAGACCUCCUGGGGAAAACUAAGGUUGUUGCUGGAA
rnacentral:rRNA from 1 species